rnacentral:tRNA from 1 species
UCCUCAGUGGCUCAGAUGGUAAAGAAUCUGCCUGCAAUGCAGGAGACCCAAGUUCGAUCCCUGGGUCGGGAA